GGCUCAGAAUGAACGCUGGCAGCGUGCCUAACACAUGCAAGUCGAACGGUCCGCAAGGACAGUGGCAGACGGGUGAGUAAUAGUUGGGAACAUGCCCAGAAGUGGGGGAUAGCCGCCCGAAAGGGUGGGUAAUCCCGCAUGUGGUCAUCGCGUAAGCGAUGAUCAAAGUCGCAAGACGCUUCUGGAGUGGCCCAACGCCUAUCAGCUAGUUGGUGGGGUAAUGGCCUACCAAGGCUCCGACGGGUAGCUGGUCUGAGAGGACGACCAGCCACAAUGGGACUGAGACACGGCCCAUACACCUACGGGUGGCAGCAGUUGGGAAUAUUGCACAAUGGACGAAAGUCUGAUGCAGCGACGCUGCGUGGAGGAUGACGGCCCUAGGGUUGUAAACUCCUUUUGGCGGGGACUAAUCUUGAAUGUACCCGCAGAAUAAGCACCGGCUAACUACGUGCCAGCAGCCGCGGUAAUACGUAGGGUGCGAGCGUUAUUCGGAUUACUGGGCGUAAAGCGUGUGUAGGUUGUAUUUUGCGUCUCCGAUUAAAGACUAGAGCUCAACUCUGGGAAUGUUGGAGAUACGGGAAUACUAGAGGUUUGCAGGGGCAGAUGGAAUUCCUGGUGUAGCAGUGAAAUGCGUAGAUAUCAGGAAGAACACCGAUGGCGAAAGCAGUCUGCUGGGCUUACUCUGACACUGAGACACGAAAGCGUGGGGAGCGAACGGGAUUAGAUACCCCGGUAGUCCACGCCCUAAACUAUGCUGACUAGGUAUAUGACGUAUCGACCCGUUGUGUACCGUAGCUAACGCGUUAAGUCAGCCGCCUGGGUAGUACGGCCG
rnacentral:rRNA from 1 species